GCGGACGGGUGAGUAACGCGUGGGUAACCUACCCUGUACACACGGAUAACAUACCGAAAGGUAUGCUAAUACGGGAUAAUAUAUUUGAGAGGCAUCUCUUAAAUAUCAAAGGUGAGCCAGUACAGGAUGGACCCGCGUCUGAUUAGCUAGUUGGUAAGGUAACGGCUUACCAAGGCGACGAUCAGUAGCCGACCUGAGAGGGUGAUCGGCCACAUUGGAACUGAGACACGGUCCAAACUCCUACGGGAGGCAGCAGUGGGGAAUAUUGCACAAUGGGCGAAAGCCUGAUGCAGCAACGCCGCGUGAGUGAUGAAGGCCUUCGGGUCGUAAAACUCUGUCCUCAAGGAAGAUAAUGACGGUACUUGAGGAGGAAGCCCCGGCUAACUACGUGCCAGCAGCCGCGGUAAUACGUAGGGGGCUAGCGUUAUCCGGAUUUACUGGGCGUAAAGGGUGCGUAGGCGGUCUUUCAAGUCAGGAGUGAAAGGCUACGGCUCAACCGUAGUAAGCUCUUGAAACUG
rnacentral:rRNA from 1 species